AACAUCGCGCACCUGCGGGAACCUGCGGAAGGAUCAUUACUGAGUCACGUGCUCAAACAACCCUUCUGUGGACCUGAAAUAAAACCGUUGCCUCGGCGGGCGGUCCCCCCCAAACCAACCCCACGUGGUGGGUUAGGGGAGACCAGACAGUCCGGUACGCUUAAGGCGUCCGGCGCCAGCCGCUGGCCCCAAACAAUUAAACUCUAGUAAUCUUUACCUUCUGAGUUUCAAUAUUUAAAG
rnacentral:misc_RNA from 1 species